GGCCUAACACAUGCAAGUCGAGCGCAGUCCUUCGGGACCGAGCGGCGGACGGGUUAGUAACGCGUGGGAACGUACCCUUCUCUACGGAAUAGCCUCGGGAAACUGAGAGUAAUACCGUAUACGCCCUUUGGGGGAAAGAUUUAUCGGAGAAGGAUCGGCCCGCGUUAGAUUAGAUAGUUGGUGGGGUAAUGGCCUACCAAGUCUACGAUCUAUAGCUGGUUUUAGAGGAUGAUCAGCAACACUGGGACUGAGACACGGCCCAGACUCCUACGGGAGGCAGCAGUGGGGAAUCUUGGACAAUGGGCGCAAGCCUGAUCCAGCCAUGCCGCGUGUGUGAUGAAGGCCUUAGGGUCGUAAAGCACUUUCGCCAGAGAUGAUAAUGACAGUAUCUGGUAAAGAAACCCCGGCUAACUCCGUGCCAGCAGCCGCGGUAAUACGGAGGGGGUUAGCGUUGUUCGGAAUUACUGGGCGUAAAGCGCACGUAGGCGGACUAGUCAGUCAGAGGUGAAAUCCCAGGGCUCAACCCUGGAACUGCCUUUGAUACUGCUAGUCUUGAGUUCGAGAGAGGUGAGUGGAAUUCCGAG
rnacentral:rRNA from 1 species